AAAAUUCUCCAUUUUUCAGUGGAAAGCUGUGUCAUUUAAAUGCUCUCUUCUGUGCACCACUCAUUCACAGUUCUGCUGCUCAAAACUCAGCAGUGAAUCUUCUGUGGUGCUCAAGGCAGAUGGCCAUCCUUCCUGUCUGAAUGGUGACGGGCUUUCUCCAGGCUGGUGAGAAUGUUGCUCCACAGGACCAUCCAGUCAAGGAGGACACGCGAAGGAACCUUCCACCGUUCUCUUCUAAGACAAAGCUUAGCAAUUUAAGCAAAGAAAAAGCUCAUCACUGAUGCCUGCUGUUAUCAACAGCUCUGAAACCAAACUGGUGUGAGAUCAGAGACUCAAAAAUACUGCCAGGAAAUACAACCAGAGUUUGUCGCUACUGCAAGGACUCUAACAAGGGAAGGGGCAAAUCCCUUUCACAGCUCGAAGAGGAGACCUGGAUACAAACAUCUUGAGCCCUGAGAUCCUCAGCAUCUUUACCCUCUAUGCUGAACAUGACUGGCAUCUGGCCCUGCUUGAGAAGCUCUCCCUAGAAGAUGACGCUCCCAAUCAGUGCAUGGACAGGUCCCUGAGCAGAGACUCACAGUAUGCAUCUGCUGGCACAGUUCAGAGGACAGCAAAGAUGACUUAAAAUUGCCAAAAGCAACAGAAGGCAUUCCUGCUGUCUGCUCCUAAACUCUGCAAAUCUAAUGCAAAUCUUUAGCUCCGAUAAGUGGAACUUGCCAAGGCAGGGAAUGGAGCAAAAAUCUUAGAAUGAAAUAAAUUUAAUAGCUCAUCCCUCAUCCUGAGAACAGGCCUGGGAAGGGCAAUCCCUCUGCAAUCAGGGAAUUGUAUUUCAGUGUCUGUAAUAUCUGUCAAAUUCCGAGGUGAGA